rnacentral:rRNA from 1 species
GUGAGGAAUAUUGGUCAAUGGGCGCAAGCCUGAACCAGCCAUGCCGCGUGCAGGAAGACGGUCCUAUGGAUUGUAAACUGCUUUUAUUUGGGAAUAAACCUCCUUACGUGUAGGGAGCUGAAGGUACCAAAUGAAUAAGCACCGGCUAACUCCGUGCCGGCAGCCGCGGUAAUACGGAGGGUGCAAGCGUUAUCCGGAAUCAUUGGGCUUAAAGGGUCCGCAGGCGGUCAUAUAAGUCAGUGGUGAAAGCCUACCGCUCAACUGUAGAACUGCCAUUGAUACUGUAUGACUUGAAUUCGAUCGAAGUGGGCGGAAUGUGACAUGUAGCGGUGAAAUGCUUAGAUAUGUCACAGAACACCGAUAGCGAAGGCAGCUCACUAGGUCUGGAUUGACGCUCAGGGACGAAAGCGUGGGGAGCAAACAGGAUUAGAUACCCUUGUAGUCC